UACGUAGGGUGCGAGCGUUGUCCGGAAUUACUGGGCGUAAAGCGCGCGUAGGCGGACCUGCAAGUCGGGGGUGAAAGCCCGAGGCUCAACCUCGGAACUGCCUUCGAUACUGCGGGUCUCGAGUCCGGGAGAGGUGAGUGGAAUUCCGUAGUGUAGAGGUGAAAUUCGUAGAUAUUAGGAAGAACACCAGUGGCGAAGGCGGCU
rnacentral:rRNA from 1 species